GGAAGUAACAUAUAUUAUCGCUGCUAACGAUUGAUUUGAAGGUUGUAAAAUCUUCUACUUUCU
rnacentral:tRNA from 1 species